GGUUUCUGUUCAUUAUGGCAGCCCCUAGGGGGCUUCUGCAGGUUGCUGUGGUCUUGCUGCUCCGUAAGGUCUGGGCAAUGGGGCUUGCUUGGGAGCUCGAGAGGUGCGUGGGGGUCCUCCUUCUGCCCUCCCUGCCCCUGAGCUCAGCCUCCCCCUGCCAGCCGUGUACCUGGUGAGCCCCCUCAAGGAUAACUCGUCCCACCUCGCCCAGCCUGGGCUGCUGCAGGAGCUGGACUUGGCAGCCUGGGGAUACUGGGAGGAGGGGACUUCCUCCCUGAUGGCCUGUGAGUCACUCCGCCAGGUGCACUCCAUCCUCAGCCCCACUUCUCAAUGCCCCCUGCCCCUGGAGUCCUUCGCUGCAUCCCCCACUGAGAGCUGAGGACACCAGGACAUGGGGUCUUUCCUACCCUCACCUGCAUCCGGGAAACCUUGCAGCCUUGUCCCAGGCCAAACAGGACCCUCUGGAGUCCAGGGUAAUCCUGCUUCUUGAGGCUCACCGCCCCCUCCGCACCCCUGGCCUCUAGGGCAGAGCUUGGCAUGCAGUAGACAUUAAACAAACACUAAAGAAAUGCCUUACAUUCUUCUUCUUUUUAAAAAACCCCCAAACUCCUUUCUGGUCCUUCGUCUGCCCUAGGCCCUCUGGGUCAAGAUAAUCCUCUCAGAGGCAGUGUGCAAGGUGGUCAGGAGUCCAAAGGGUACAAAGAAUUAGCUGGGGACCUUGCAGGGGUGAGCGUGCUACACACAGGCCGGUUGCUCACAGGGACAAAAAGCAAGUAGUGGUAGGGAGAGGGGAAAGGAAACUCAGCUUUCAUGUUAACACCGCUUGGUAUCAUCUGAAUCUUGCCAUACAACACCUCCAACCUUCAAAUGUUCCUGGAAAAGCCCUUGGGAGUUUGAAUCUGAGCUCUGCAGCUGAUAAGCUGCGUGCAACCAGGGGCAGAUGGUGGCAGGACUUCCCAGGCUCAGUUUGUACGUCUGGGAAAUGGAGGCGGUCACGCGGUUCACAGAGGGUGGGUGAGUACCCCUCAUGGCAGCUGUGAUGAUACUCAUGUGAGCAGCUUCCCUUCAGCCCUCUCACUCCCGUUCCCUCCCCUGAGGGAGCCUGUCCUCCAGUCUGGCUGUGGGGACCCACUGGACCUUCUUGAUGGUGCCCCUUCUUCUGCAGCCCCCCAGCCCAGGCUGCUCCUCGGGCAGGAGAUGAACAAUUCUGCAGCAGCAGGCCCAUCCUAGACCCCACCUGGCCCUCUGGAGGGCCCCUCCAAGGAGCCCUCACCCCGCCCCCCCACCAUGCUGCCCCUGCAGGUGGCCCUCCGGGUACCACAUGGUGAGUCUCCGGCUGGCGUGUGUGGAGGGAGAUGGAGUGUGGACCCCUGAGGAUUGCCCCAGAGGAGGGCAAAAUGUGGGCCAUGGGCACCAUCCUGUUUCUGGCCUCAGCCUUCCACCCCUGGUGGGACAGGUGUGCAUGGUAGAUGAGACCAGGGUAAGAGAGCUGAAGUUCAGCCACCUCUCCAAGCCUCCAUCACCCCAUCUGUAAAAUGGACAUAAAGAACACUUCUAGAACCAUUCAGGAGUAAAUGGAAACGUGGCUGUGACUGACCAGGCGUGCAGGAGAUGCUUGUUAGAGGAUGGCCGUGACUGCUUACCAGGAAUGACCCGCUUCCCUCAGAUGCCUUGCUGCCUCCCUACGUGGAAGGCUCGUGGCUGACCCUCGAAGCCCGCAUCCAGCCUGCGCUAAACUGGGCCAUGAAGCUCUAUGUGGAUGAGUGUGUGGGCUCCCAGACCCAGUACCGGAACCGCUCUCGGAAGAUGUACAUCCUUGUCUUCAACCGUGGGUGCCUCUCAGUAGGCCCCCAUUCUGGCCCUUGGUCCCGGCAGAAUAAUGAGACGCUGCAGUUCAGCGUGGAGGCCUUCAUGCUCGACGAGGAUGAGGUGUAUAUCACCUGCUGGACGAGCGUCUCGAGUUGGAUGGGACCCUUUAAGCCUGGCCGGAAGUCCUGUUUUUAUAACACCUCCUCGUACAGCUGUCAGCUUGCAGAUGAUAAGUGGGAAAGCUCGAUGUGUGACUGCUGUGACUUUGGCUGUUCCCACCCAAAGAAAGAGUUCCCUGGGGAAGAGACACCUAUAUGGUGGUCACGGGGCUGCAGAAAGUCAAGAAGCCCCCAGUGUUGUAGUUUACGGUAAGGAACUCUGGGCUCAUAAUCAGCUCAGGCUAGGCGGCCACACCUCUGGGUAGUCCUGCAGCAUCCUUGGCCCCAGCCUCCUGCAGGACACUGAAGGACCUGCUAGUGGUGCUGCUGGCUUUCAGCCGUGUCACCGCUGCUGAUCCUGUUCCUGCUGACCCUGAAGGUGCUCAAGACCUUCCAGCUGUCCUCCCGGCUGCCAGGGACCACGUUGAGGGAGGCCCUGGCCAAUCUGGAUGCCCAGGAGAUGGGUCCAGUGGUCAGGGCAAUGGAAAGACUCUCUUCUGAGGAGGAGAUUGACUCGAUGUCCCAGUCUGCUGUCGAGGAAAGCUGGGAGGCAGCGGGCCCUUCAGAAAACUAAACAACCCUUUUAUAUACGUACAAUAAAGUUUUCUAUUU
ensembl:lncRNA